rnacentral:rRNA from 1 species
CCUACGGGAGGCAGCAGUGGGGGAUAUUGCACAAUGGGGGGAACCCUGAUGCAGCGACGCCGCGUGGGUGAAGAAGCGCCUCGGCGCGUAAAGCCCUGUCAGCAGGGAAGAAAAUGACGGUACCUGAAGAAGAAGCCCCGGCUAACUACGUGCCAGCAGCCGCGGUAAUACGUAGGGGGCAAGCGUUAUCCGGAUUUACUGGGUGUAAAGGGGGCGCAGACGGCGAUGCAAGCCAGGGGUGGAAGCCCGGGGCCCAACCCCGGGACUGCGCUGGGAACGGCGUGGCGGGAGUGCAGGGGGGGCAGGCGGAAGGGCUGGUGUAGCGGUGAAAGGCGUAGAGAUCAGGAGG